rnacentral:rRNA from 1 species
UGGGGAAUUUUGGACAAUGGGCGAAAGCCUGAUCCAGCAAUGCCGCGUGUGUGAAGAAGGCCUUCGGGUUGUAAAGCACUUUUGUCCGGAAAGAAAUCCUUGGCUCUAAUACAGUCGGGGGAUGACGGUACCGGAAGAAUAAGCACCGGCUAACUACGUGCCAGCAGCCGCGGUAAUACGUAGGGUGCAAGCGUUAAUCGGAAUUACUGGGCGUAAAGCGUGCGCAGGCGGUUUGCUAAGACCGAUGUGAAAUCCCCGGGCUCAACCUGGGAACUGCAUUGGUGACUGGCAGGCUAGAGUAUGGCAGAGGGGGGUAGAAUUCCACGUGUAGCAGUGAAAUGCGUAGAGAUGUGGAGGAAUACCGAUGGCGAAGGCAGCCCCUGGGCCAAUACUGACGCUCAUGCACGAAAGCGUGGGGAGCAAACAGGAUUAGAUACCCUGGUAGUCCACGCCCUAAACGAUGUCAACUAGUUGUUGGGAUUCAUUUCCUUAGUAACGUAGCUAACGCGUGAAGUUGACCGCCUGGGGAGUACGGUCGCAAGAUUAAAACUCAAAUGAAUUGACGGGGUCAUAGCUGUUUCCU